rfam:Salmo salar isolate Sally breed double haploid chromosome ssa27, whole genome shotgun sequence.
UGCACCCACUACUGUAAGUCUCUUUGGAUAAAAGUGUCUUCUAAAUGGCUUUGC